rnacentral:rRNA from 1 species
GACGAACGCUGGCGGCGUGGAUUAGGCAUGCAAGUCGGACGGUAGGGCUUUAUCGUAAGAUAGAGUUUGAGAGUGGCGAACGGGUGAGUAACACGUAGGAAUCUACCCUUAAGACGGGGACAACCCAGGGAAACUUGGGCUAAUACCGGAUGAGAGUGCGAGAGAUUGCAUUUAAAAGGAUGGCGAAAGUUGUCGCUUAGGGAUGAGCCUGCGGUCUAUUAGUUAGUUGGUGAGGUAAGAGCUCACCAAGGCGAUGAUAGAUAGGCGGCCUUAACGGGUGGUCGCCCACACUGGGAUUGAGAUACGGCCCAGACUCCUACGGGAGGCAGCAGUCGAGAAUAGUCUACAAUGGCCGGAAGGCUGAUAGUGCGACGCCGCGUGAACGAGGGAGCCCUUCGGGUGUAAACCUCUUUCAGCAGGGACGAAUGUGACGGUACCUGUAGAAGAAGCACCGGCUAACUACGUG